AAAUUGAAGAGUUUGAUCAUGGCUCAGAUUGAACGCUGGCGGCAGGCCUAACACAUGCAAGUCGAACGGUAGCACAGAGAGCUUGCUCUCGGGUGACGAGUGGCGGACGGGUGAGUAAUGUCUGGGAAACUGCCUGAUGGAGGGGGAUAACUACUGGAAACGGUGGCUAAUACCGCAUAACGUCGCAAGACCAAAGAGGGGGACCUUCGGGCCUCUUGCCAUCAGAUGUGCCCAGAUGGGAUUAGCUUGUUGGUGAGGUAACGGCUCACCAAGGCGACGAUCCCUAGCUGGUCUGAGAGGAUGACCAGCCACACUGGAACUGAGACACGGUCCAGACUCCUACGGGAGGCAG
rnacentral:rRNA from 1 species